CGUUAUGCAUAGAACACGUGAUUAGCUAAGCAGGCUAGCUAACAAUUUAUCGCCAGCUUGUUUGUAAGACUAUGUCAAUAGAAGUCAUCGUCAGCAUCAUCAUUGCAAUAAACUGAACAAAAUACGAGACAACAAAAGGUUCCCAUACAGGUAUUUUGUAUUAGGAAGCAGGUAUAACAGUUAGGAAACACGAAAUGUGGCGUUGAUGAAAUGAUCAAUCAGGACGGCAAGAGCUGCGUGCUUCCACUUGUGCUAUGAUAGCAUUCCGAUCAAAAUUGAAGCAGUCAAAAGCACUCGUGACAAUCAGGAUUGCGUAAACCAUUCAAUUUUCUAGUUCUACGAUGUCUCCAGUGGAGGGUUCCAUUGAACAAUUGUUAAGGCGAUCACGACGAUUUGAACUAAACACCACCUCGCACACUCCUUGUUCAGCGACACGUUUUGGCAUUGCUUGCCAUCUGCACAAAUAUCUUAUGCGGGUUUCCAUGCAUUUUCUUUAAGCGAAUGUUUCUCUUAAUGGUUAAGUGAAUUUUCUGCUUUGAAAACAAUGACACCCUUAGUGGCCUCGUUUUCUUAACGUUGCGCAAGAGAGUGCUUUCUGGCCGCUUCGAAAUAGUCAACGUAUCAUCGCUCCUCUUUUAUCGGAACGAGUUUCACGCAUGCCCUGUAGGCUAUUUCUCGUCUUUUCAGCCCUGGCUUAUGCGUCAUGUCGAAGUGAGUGGUUAAGCUAUUGCCUGAAGCCAUAUACAGUCAGCUGCGUUGACCACAAAACCUACUGCGACUGCAACUGUCACGCUGUUCCCGCAGGAGGAAGACCAAAACAAGGUCGCCUCAGGAAGCGCUGGUGAUGUGGAAUGGCUUUUGUACCCCGGAGUCUCUCGUGCUGCCCACAGUGUGUUUGCUAGGUGGACCGGAUCUCGCCGUAGAUCUGAGCCUGCAAUAAAUGAAUUUUUACAUGGA
rnacentral:lncRNA from 1 species